rnacentral:rRNA from 1 species
GACGAACGCUGGCGGCGUGCUUAACACAUGCAAGUCGAACGGAAAGGCCCUGCUUUUUGUGGGGUGCUCGAGUGGCGAACGGGUGAGUAACACGUGAGUAACCUGCCCUUGACUUUGGGAUAACUUCAGGAAACUGGGGCUAAUACCGGAUAGGAGCUCCUGCUGCAUGGUGGGGGUUGGAAAGUUUCGGCGGUUGGGGAUGGACUCGCGGCUUAUCAGCUUGUUGGUGGGGUAGUGGCUUACCAAGGCUUUGACGGGUAGCCGGCCUGAGAGGGUGACCGGCCACAUUGGGACUGAGAUACGGCCCAGACUCCUACGGGAGGCAGCAGUGGGGAAUAUUGCACAAUGGGCGGAAGCCUGAUGCAGCAACGCCGCGUGCGGGAUGACGGCCUUCGGGUUGUAAACCGCUUUCGCCUGUGACGAAGCGUGAGUGACGGUAAUGGGUAAAGAAGCACCGGCUAACUACGUG